rnacentral:rRNA from 1 species
UACGGAGGAUCCAAGCGUUAUCCGGAAUCAUUGGGCUUAAAGGGUCCGUAGGCGGUUUAGUAAGUCAGUGGUGAAAGCCCAUCGCUCAACGGUGGAACGGCCAUUGAUACUGCUAAACUUGAAUUAUUAGGAAGUAACUAGAAUAUGUAGUGUAGCGGUGAAAUGCUUAGAGAUUACAUGGAAGACCAAUUGCGAAGGCAGGUUACUACUAAGGGAUUGACGCUGAUGGACGAAAGCGUGGGGAGCAAACAGG